UACGUAGGGUGCGAGCGUUGUCCGGAAUUAUUGGGCGUAAAGAGCUUGUAGGCGGUUUGUCGCGUCUGCUGUGAAAUUUCGGGGCUUAACCCCGAACUUGCAGUGGGUAAGGGCAUACUAGAGUGUAGUAGGGGAGACUGGAAUUCCUGGUGUAGCGGUGAAAUGCGCAGAUAUCAGGAGGAACACCGAUGGCGAAGGCAGGUCUCUGGGCCAUAACUGACGCUGAUAAGCGAAAGCAUGGGGAGCGAACAGG
rnacentral:rRNA from 1 species